ACACAAUUAUUUUAAAUCAGUCUGAACUAAAUCCAUACAACCUUAAAAGAGCUCAAUUCAUUUCUGUCGAAACAACGAAAAAUAAUGAUUCGAGUCAAACUACUACUUUUGUGCAUGCGCUGAUGACAGGAAAUCCACGUGACCUCGUCAGUUCACGCGGGCGCCAUUAACGCGGUGGAUUCUAUGGUGGAAUGGUGUCGAAUUGCUCAUUAAACAGCAUACUUUACUUGGGGUUUAGUCUACUUUUUCAUGUGGUUUUACAAGAGCAAUAAACAGCAUCCCAUGGGUUUUAGUCUACUAUUUCAUGUGUUAUUUGAAUGUGGCCUUGUAAAGAAUGUGGAGCAUUAGAGUCUAGCAGGUACAAAUUGUUAAGACAUUAUAAGUUAUGUCAUGGUCAUUAUGGUAAAAAUCAACGAUAUCCAUGUUCUUAUGCGAGUUGCCCCUGUACUUUCCGAACAUGGAGUAGCCUUAAAAGUCAUGUAUACCGUGCCCACACAUUAUCAGCACAGACAUCAUCAGGAUUAGCGACAUUCAGCUGUCAGUUGUGCGAUUGUGCUGAGCUUUCUUCAGAGAAAGAUUAUUUUGUUCAUAUUGGGACACAUCUUAGAAAUGGUCAGACUUGUAGUUGUGUGUUUCUGGGCUGUAGUUUUCAG